rnacentral:rRNA from 1 species
UACGUAGGGGGCAAGCGUUGUCCGGAUUUAUUGGGCGUAAAGGGCGCGUAGGCGGUGCCACAAGUCACUUGUGAAAUCUCCGGGCUUAACUCGGAGCCUGCAGGCGAAACUGUGGUGCUGGAGUGUGGGAGAGGUGCGUGGAAUUCCCGGUGUAGCGGUGAAAUGCGCAGAUAUCAGGAAGAACACCCGUGGCGAAAGCGGCUCUCUGGGACGGUACUGACGCUGAGACGCGAAAGCGUGGGGAGCGAACAGG